GGGUUGUGAGGUUAAGCGACUAAGCGUACACGGUGGAUGCCCUGGCAGUCAGAGGCGAUGAAGGGCGUGCUAAUCUGCGAUAAGCGCCGGUAAGGUGAUAUGAACCGUUAUAACCGGCGAUACCCGAAUGGGGAAACCCAGUGUGAUUCGUCACACUAUCAUUAACUGAAUCCAUAGGUUAAUGAGGCGAACCGGGGGAACUGAAACAUCUAAGUACCCCGAGGAAAAGAAAUCAACCGAGAUUCCCCCAGUAGCGGCGAGCGAACGGGGAGGAGCCCAGAGCCUGAAUCAGCAUGUGUGUUAGUGGAAGCGUCUGGAAAGGCGCGCGAUACAGGGUGACAGCCCCGUACACAAAAGCGCAUGUGCUGUGAGCUCGAUGAGUAGGGCGGGACACGUGGUAUCCUGUCUGAAUAUGGGGGGACCAUCCUCCAAGGCUAAAUACUCCUGACUGACCGAUAGUGAACCAGUACCGUGAGGGAAAGGCGAAAAGAACCCCGGCGAGGGGAGUGAAAAAGAACCUGAAACCGUGUACGUACAAGCAGUGGGANNNNNNNNNNNNNNNNNNNNNNNNNNNNNNNNNNNNNNNNNNNNNNNNNNNGGGCGUUAAGUUGCAGGGUAUAGACCCGAAACCCGGUGAUCUAGCCAUGGGCAGGUUGAAGGUUGGGUAACACUAACUGGAGGACCGAACCGACUAAUGUUGAAAAAUUAGCGGAUGACCUGUGGCUGGGGGUGAAAGGCCAAUCAAACCGGGAGAUAGCUGGUUCUCCCCGAAAGCUAUUUAGGUAGCGCCUCGUGAAUUCAUCUCCGGGGGUAGAGCACUGUUUCGGCUAGGGGGCCAUCCCGGCUUACCAACCCGAUGCAAACUGCGAAUACCGGAGAAUGUUAUCACGGGAGACACACGGCGGGUGCUAACGUCCGUCGUGAAGAGGGAAACAACCCAGACCGCCAGCUAAGGUCCCAAAGUCAUGGUUAAGUGGGAAACGAUGUGGGAAGGCCCAGACAGCCAGGAUGUUGGCUUAGAAGCAGCCAUCAUUUAAAGAAAGCGUAAUAGCUCACUGGUCGAGUCGGCCUGCGCGGAAGAUGUAACGGGGCUAAACCAUGCACCGAAGCUGCGGCAGCGACGCUUAUGCGUUGUUGGGUAGGGGAGCGUUCUGUAAGCCUGCGAAGGUGGCCUGUGAGGGUUGCUGGAGGUAUCAGAAGUGCGAAUGCUGACAUAAGUAACGAUAAAGCGGGUGAAAAGCCCGCUCGCCGGAAGACCAAGGGUUCCUGUCCAACGUUAAUCGGGGCAGGGUGAGUCGACCCCUAAGGCGAGGCCGAAAGGCGUAGUCGAUGGGAAACGGGUUAAUAUUCCCGUACUUGGUGUUACUGCGAAGGGGGGACGGAGAAGGCUAUGUUGGCCGGGCGACGGUUGUCCCGGUUUAAGCGUGUAGGUGUGUGUUCCAGGUAAAUCCGGUUCACUUUAACACUGAGGCGUGACGACGAGGCACUACGGUGCUGAAGCAACAAAUGCCCUGCUUCCAGGAAAAGCCUCUAAGCAUCAGGUAACAUCAAAUCGUACCCCAAACCGACACAGGUGGUCAGGUAGAGAAUACCAAGGCGCUUGAGAGAACUCGGGUGAAGGAACUAGGCAAAAUGGUGCCGUAACUUCGGGAGAAGGCACGCUGACACGUAGGUGAAGUGAUUUACUCAUGGAGCUGAAGUCAGUCGAAGAUACCAGCUGGCUGCAACUGUUUAUUAAAAACACAGCACUGUGCAAACACGAAAGUGGACGUAUACGGUGUGACGCCUGCCCGGUGCCGGAAGGUUAAUUGAUGGGGUCAGCGCAAGCGAAGCUCCUGAUCGAAGCCCCGGUAAACGGCGGCCGUAACUAUAACGGUCCUAAGGUAGCGAAAUUCCUUGUCGGGUAAGUUCCGACCUGCACGAAUGGCGUAAUGAUGGCCAGGCUGUCUCCACCCGAGACUCAGUGAAAUUGAACUCGCUGUGAAGAUGCAGUGUACCCGCGGCAAGACGGAAAGACCCCGUGAACCUUUACUAUAGCUUGACACUGAACAUUGAGCCUUGAUGUGUAGGAUAGGUGGGAGGCUUUGAAGUGUGGACGCCAGUCUGCAUGGAGCCGACCUUGAAAUACCACCCUUUAAUGUUUGAUGUUCUAACGUGGACCCGUUACCCGGGUUGCGGACAGUGUCUGGUGGGUAGUUUGACUGGGGCGGUCUCCUCCUAAAGAGUAACGGAGGAGCACGAAGGUUGGCUAAUCCUGGUCGGACAUCAGGAGGUUAGUGCAAUGGCAUAAGCCAGCUUGACUGCGAGCGUGACGGCGCGAGCAGGUGCGAAAGCAGGUCAUAGUGAUCCGGUGGUUCUGAAUGGAAGGGCCAUCGCUCAACGGAUAAAAGGUACUCCGGGGAUAACAGGCUGAUACCGCCCAAGAGUUCAUAUCGACGGCGGUGUUUGGCACCUCGAUGUCGGCUCAUCACAUCCUGGGGCUGAAGUAGGUCCCAAGGGUAUGGCUGUUCGCCAUUUAAAGUGGUACGCGAGCUGGGUUUAGAACGUCGUGAGACAGUUCGGUCCCUAUCUGCCGUGGGCGCUGGAGAACUGAGGGGGGCUGCUCCUAGUACGAGAGGACCGGAGUGGACGCAUCACUGGUGUUCGGGUUGUCAUGCCAAUGGCACUGCCCGGUAGCUAAAUGCGGAAGAGAUAAGUGCUGAAAGCAUCUAAGCACGAAACUUGCCCCGAGAUGAGUUCUCCCUGAGACUUAGAGUCUCCUGAAGGAACGUUGAAGACGACGACGUUGAUAGGCCGGGUGUGUAAGCGCAGCGAUGCGUUGAGCUAACCGGUACUAAUGAACCGUGAGGCUUAACCUUACAACGCCGAAG
rnacentral:rRNA from 1 species